GACGAACGCUGGCGGCGUGCCUAAUACAUGCAAGUAGAACGCUGAAGGAGGAGCUUGCUUCUCUGGAUGAGUUGCGAACGGGUGAGUAACGCGUAGGUAACCUGCCUGGUAGCGGGGGAUAACUAUUGGAAACGAUAGCUAAUACCGCAUAAGAGUAGAUGUUGCAUGACAUUUGCUUAAAAGGUGCAAUUGCAUCACUACCAGAUGGACCUGCGUUGUAUUAGCUAGUUGGUGGGGUAACGGCUCACCAAGGCGACGAUACAUAGCCGACCUGAGAGGGUGAGCGCCCACACUGGGACUGAGCCACGGCCCAGACUCCGACGGGAGGCGGCAGGAGGGAAUCUUAGGAAAGGGACGGAAGUUUGACCGAGCAACGCCGCGUGAGUGAAGAGGUGUUUCGGAUCGUAAAGCUCGGUUGUAAGAGAAGAACGAGUGUGAGAGUGGAAAGUUCACACUGUGACGGUAUCUUACCAGAAAGGGACGGCUAACUACGUG
rnacentral:rRNA from 1 species